GGGGUUGGUUCCCCACGAAGGGCCGAGAUCUGAGUGCUUCACCAAAACCCAAAAUCACAGCUCCCAGGCUGGGCAGGACCGUGAGGCUCACUUACCGUGGUCCAGAAAACCCUCCCUUCCCUCUGCCCUCACCCGGCCCCACAGGCACACAACUGUCUAGGAACCAGCAGCCUCAGGACCAAGCCAAACUUCCGGAGAAAUCCCAGCUGCCUCCCCAGCCCUGGCCUUGGCAACUCAACGUGCUGCCACAGUCUCCUCCCGGGUAAAAUGGGACCUGCCUCCUUUCACUACCUGGCGUGAGACGCCAUCAUGUCCUGCCAGGACUGCAGCUCCCGUCUGCCCUCGGCUCCCGCCCUACCUCCUCCCUCACCGCUGGCUAAGAGAGUGGCCACCAGCCCUGCACAGCCACAGAGCACCUCAAAGUGGCCGCUGUGCAGUGAGACUUAGCAGAGGCUACAUGCUGGAGCCAAAGACGUGGCACAAAAAAGAAAAAGAAAGCAAAUAUCUCAAAAAUGUACAUUGAUUUCAUGUUGAAAUAACAUUUUGGAUAUAUUGGGCUAAAUAAAAUAUACUAUUAACAUUAACUUCACUUGUUUCUUUUUACUUUUUUUUGAGACAGAGUUUCGCUCUUGUUGCCCAGGCUGGAGUGCAGUGACGCGAUCUCGGCUCACAGCAACCUCAGCCUCCCGGGUUCAAGUGAUUCUCCUGCCUCAGCCUCCCGAGUAGCUGGGAUACAGGCACACACCACCAUGCCCGGCCAAUUUUGUAUUUUUAGUAGAGAUGGGGUUUCACCAUGUUGGUCAGGCUGGUCUCAAACUCCCGACCUCAAGUGAUCCACCCACCUCAGCCUCCCAAGUGCUGGGAUUACAGGUGUGAGCACCGUGCCCAGCUCUUUUUACUUUUUUAACGUGGCUAUUACAAAAUUUAAUAUUGUGUUCACACCUGGCAUCAGAUCACUACGGGACACCGCUCCAGCACCUUCAACCAAAAGGGCAGCCGCGGCGCCUGGCUCACCCUAAGCAGGUGGCCUCCCUCCUCUGCUCAGAACCUCCCGUGGCCCAGAGGAGAAGAGGGUACUGGCCCGGCCCUAGG
rnacentral:lncRNA from 1 species